rnacentral:sRNA from 1 species
GGUGAGCUGGCUGCUUCAAGUGUCAUGCCACUCAUCACUAGGGUUGACCCAGAUGUUCUGGCUGACUGGGAAGGUGCUCCCUUUCUCC